GGAGGUAUCAGAAGUGCGAAUGCUGACAUAAGUAACGAUAAAGCGGGUGAAAAGCCCGCUCGCCGGAAGACCAAGGGUUCCUGUCCAACGUUAAUCGGGGCAGGGUGAGUCGACCCCUAAGGCGAGGCCGAAAGGCGUAGUCGAUGGGAAACGGGUUAAUAUUCCCGUACUUGGUGUUACUGCGAAGGGGGGACGGAGAAGGCUAUGUUGGCCGGGCGACGGUUGUCCCGGUUUAAGCGUGUAGGUGUGUGUUCCAGGUAAAUCCGGUUCACUUUAACACUGAGGCGUGACGACGAGGCACUACGGUGCUGAAGCAACAAAUGCCCUGCUUCCAGGAAAAGCCUCUAAGCAUCAGGUAACAUCAAAUCGUACCCCAAACCGACACAGGUGGUCAGGUAGAGAAUACCAAGGCGCUUGAGAGAACUCGGGUGAAGGAACUAGGCAAAAUGGUGCCGUAACUUCGGGAGAAGGCACGCUGACAUGUAGGUGAAGUGAUUUACUCAUGGAGCUGAAGUCAGUCGAAGAUACCAGCUGGCUGCAACUGUUUAUUAAAAACACAGCACUGUGCAAACACGAAAGUGGACGUAUACGGUGUGACGCCUGCCCGGUGCCGGAAGGUUAAUUGAUGGGGUCAGCGCAAGCGAAGCUCCUGAUCGAAGCCCCGGUAAACGGCGGCCGUAACUAUAACGGUCCUAAGGUAGCGAAAUUCCUUGUCGGGUAAGUUCCGACCUGCACGAAUGGCGUAAUGAUGGCCAGGCUGUCUCCACCCGAGACUCAGUGAAAUUGAACUCGCUGUGAAGAUGCAGUGUACCCGCGGCAAGACGGAAAGACCCCGUGAACCUUUACUAUAGCUUGACACUGAACAUUGAGCCUUGAUGUGUAGGAUAGGUGGGAGGCUUUGAAGUGUGGACGCCAGUCUGCAUGGAGCCGGCCUUGAAAUACCACCCUUUAAUGUUUGAUGUUCUAACGUGGACCCGUAAUCCGGGUUGCGGACAGUGUCUGGUGGGUAGUUUGACUGGGGCGGUCUCCUCCUAAAGAGUAACGGAGGAGCACGAAGGUUGGCUAAUCCUGGUCGGACAUCAGGAGGUUAGUGCAAUGGCAUAAGCCAGCUUGACUGCGAGCGUGACGGCGCGAGCAGGUGCGAAAGCAGGUCAUAGUGAUCCGGUGGUUCUGAAUGGAAGGGCCAUCGCUCAACGGAUAAAAGGUACUCCGGGGAUAACAGGCUGAUACCGCCCAAGAGUUCAUAUCGACGGCGGUGUUUGGCACCUCGAUGUCGGCUCAUCACAUCCUGGGGCUGAAGUAGGUCCCAAGGGUAUGGCUGUUCGCCAUUUAAAGUGGUACGCGAGCUGGGUUUAGAACGUCGUGAGACAGUUCGGUCCCUAUCUGCCGUGGGCGCUGGAGAACUGAGGGGGGCUGCUCCUAGUACGAGAGGACCGGAGUGGACGCAUCACUGGUGUUCGGGUUGUCAUGCCAAUGGCACUGCCCGGUAGCUAAAUGCGGAAGAGAUAAGUGCUGAAAGCAUCUAAGCACGAAACUUGCCCCGA
rnacentral:rRNA from 1 species